rnacentral:rRNA from 1 species
GAUGAACGCUGGCGGCGUGCCUAAUACAUGCAAGUCGAGCGAACGGACGAGAAGCUUGCUUUUCUGAUGUUAGCGGCGGACGGGUGAGUAACACGUGGAUAACCUACCUAUAAGACUGGGAUAACUUCGGGAUACCGGAGCUAAUACCGGAUAAUAUUUUGAACCGCAUGGUUCAAAAGUGAAAGACGGUCUUGCUGUCACUUAUAGAUGGAUCCGCGCUGCAUUAGCUAGUUGGUAAGGUAACGGCUUACCAAGGCAACGAUGCAUAGCCGUCCUGAGAGGGUGAUCGGCCACACUGGAACUGAGACACGAUCCAGACUCCUACGGGAGGCAGCAGUAGGGAAUCUUCCGCAAUGGGCGAAAGCCUGACGGAGCAACGCCGCGUGAGUGAUGAAGGUCUUCGGAUCGUAAAACUCUGUUAUUAGGGAAGAACAUAUGUGUAAGUAACUGUGCACAUCUUGACGGUACCUAAUCAGAAAGCCACGGCUAACUACGUG